AAUCUUGUUUACACAACAAGCUCUUAAGCAAAUGUUUUCUCCACUGAAACCAGCUCCCUGGCCUCCGGGGGCCUCUCCCCUCCCUGGGCCUUCAGUCUCCACUAAGGGGACAGGCUAGAGAGACCUCCCAAAUCUCCUCCAGCUUGAACCUUCUGUGACAGCCCCUCAGAUGAGAAGGUGAGAUUUCAGCCCCCUGAGGAGGAAAUUAGCAGAAACUGCUGAGUUUGAACUUGGAUUACCAAGGUGCCAGCUGACUCCCGGAGUUUCUGCCCUACCAGUUGACCCAAUCAGUUUUAAGGAAAACCUGUCUAAGGCUCCUCAAUGGGAUGGAGUUUCACUGAGCUGGAGUCACUGAGCCUGCCCCAGUGGUGACGCUACCCAGGGACCAGCCCACAUUUGAGAGGUGGAGAGGAAAUGGCGUAGACCAGAACAGGACCUGUGCCACCAGGGAUGGGGAGUCAUCAUCACCGGCUGCCAGCCACUACAAAGAGCACAUCUGAAGUCUGUGGGCAGAGAGCUGGCAGAGAAGCUUCCAGAAGGCAGCCUCAAGCCAACUGCCAGCUUUCGCUCCCGUACCAGAGGUAAAGAGGGCCACUCUCCUUGGCAACCUCCGUCUCAGCAGAGCCCCUUGUCCUGGCCAGCCCUGGGGCUAAGGGGCAGCUGCGCUGCAGCUCCUCUGCAAGACAGCUCAGAAGUGCCUUGGCUGCCUCAGAAGCCAGGAUGUCCAGUGGGCAUCUCAGACAGGUUCGAGGGGGGGCAGCGGGCCCAGUCGCUAACCCGAGAGGUUGCCCAUCUACCCCUCCCCCAUCAGCCUGAGGCCACCAGGUCAGAAGGCCUUUGGUUUCCAGCCCGCACCCUGAAUCACUGACAUUGGUCACCUGCUGCUUGAAGUGAGUGAUGGGUAAAACACAAACCCCUUAAAAAGCAUUACUACCAGGCGCGGUGGCUCCCGCCUGUGGAUCCCAGCACUUCAGGAGGUCGAGGUAGGCGGAUCACCUGAGGUCAGGAAUUCCAAACCAGCCUGGCCAACAUGGUGAAACCCCGUCUCUACUAAAAAUACAAAAUUAGCUGGGCGUGGCGGUGUGCACCUGUACUCCCAGCUACUUGGGAGGCUGAGGCAGGAGAAUCACUUGAACCCAGAAGGUGGAGGUUGCAGUGAGCCAAGAUCACGCCAGGAGCUUUUGGAGAAAAGAGGGAAGAAACAGUCUGGUCCUGGCCUGGCAGAGCUCCCAGCCCCCCAGAACAUAUGGCCAGGUGUCCGGCUCCAGGGGGAUUUAAAAAGGGGGAGCUUCAGAGGCUGAAGUACAGAGGGCUGCCCUAAGGGACUACUAAGGCCAGGCCUUGAAGCCCCCAAACCAACUCAGGAGAGGAUAAGACAACGCUCACCCCAGGCACUAACUUGGGCAGCGCAGGGGGCCUCUGAUUCGCAGUCAUCCGUGGUGGAGCAGGAAAGGGAAGCUGAUCUGUCAGCUGUACCUGCCCCGUGUGGCCACGAAAUCCCCGGCUUCUGUGGGAGCCCAGUCACUGAAUCAACAAACCCCAACAAACCAGGGAUAAAGAGCUGCCCCUUAUCAAAGGAGCUAGGUCACCGCCUUUCACAAGCAACCUGGACCAGGGGCCAUGGCACUGGCUCUGGGCCAGUGGACAGGAGAGACCCAGACCUGUUCCAGAAGCCCAGGCUGCGAGGUCAUGAGGCAGGAGGGCCCAUGGUCAUGGCAGGCUGGACACCCACCCUCCCCAUCCCGAGAUUCCACACAAUGGCAAAUGUCCUCAGGAGGCUUGAAACAGGGUCACAGUUGUUUAGAAAUCUUCUUUACCCCCUCGGUUUCUCAGUCAGAUCUACACAUACAAGGAAAACAGGCUGACUCUCCCCUCCCCUAGACUUCAGGACCCUUGGGGGCUGAUAUCUCUGAGCUGCAGAGCCCCAGCCUUUACCCCCACCUCUGCAUCAAGACACCAUACUGGCUGAGGGUGAUAACCAAACCAUCACCUGCAUCCAGACUGGGGGCUCUCAGCUUCAGGGUCCCCAAGAAUCACCAGGAGACCACUACAAAUGAAGUCUUUCGCGUUCCCUGCCCAGAGGCUGACUGUCAUUCACAAGCCCCAGGUCCUGUAGGGGGUCUUCAGACUGCACUUUGAAAACAAUGAGGGGAGGAAAAGGCAUCCCCCAGAGUGGCCCAGCCUGGAGGAGGCAAGAGCUCGUUUCACUUGAGUCCAGUGUUCAAAGUCAAGGCACUGAGUAGCAACAGAGCCCUGUGAACAAGCUCUAGUGGCAAAGGGACCAGGGAAAGCUCAGCAAUGUCCUCUACAUUUCCGACACGUCCACUCGCAUAGAUAGCACACCACGGUGGCAGCCCAGCCUCCCUCCCCCAGGAGCUGAAGGCCCACUGAACAUCCAGAAGCACCUACAUGACUGGGAAGUGUCUACUUGAAGCUGGGCUGAGGCUCCUUCGUGCCUGGGGCUGAGCCCACUGGCUUCCCACCAGCCGGCCCGGCUGGACCCAGCAGGGGUGAGCAGAAGACAGCUGCUGGAGCUGACAGGCAGGUGGGCUCCAGGGACGAAGGCUGGGCCUGGAAGGCAGCACAGGCUGCAGGGCCUGGUCCUGCUCUUCCAGGGGUACCAGUGGGAGGGCACGGGAGAAAAAGCUGCAACACCCUCUCCCAGUCCCACUGCCUUCCGAACGCCUCAGUGCCCUGCAGCGUGGAUCUGUGGCUGCCUUCCCUCUGUGGGGAGCCCUGUGACCCUUUCCUUCAGCCUGGACUGAAACGGCCUAAGCACUGAGCAGGCAGGUCAUAUCCGAGCACCCAGGAGCAAGGGUCUCUGGGAAAGGGCUGGAAUCCGCCAUGUGGCUCCCGUGCUGGGGACCUGGGCAGCUUUCAGCCUCUCUCUAGACCUGUUCCCCACCUAGACGCCAGAAGGGGCUUGGUGGACAACGCUAAAGUGCCUUACGGCUGACAGGCUGGCCCCGCCGGCUUUAGCACCUGGUGCUGCUCUGGGAGCUAGACAGGGGUUCUGUCCCCCAAGACUCUCCAAAUGCCCCCUCCUCAGGGACCCACAGCACUGAUCACCAGAGGGUGGCCCAGGGAAAAUGACCAGGUCCAACAUGGGGAUAGUCUGGUGACAGUCUGGCCUCUGUCCCUAAAUUACGGGGUGGUGCCAGAAACACCUUGCCUCAGGUUGUCCAUCUGUACAACGGGGGUUUGGCCAAAAUGGUGGGACUCGUGGGAGAAGGCAGCAGGGCAGGGCCACAGGCCAGGAGACACUGGGCUCCCCCAGCCUCGGGGUUGUGGAGGAAGUGCUAGACACAUCACUCCUCUCCUAAGGCUGGUUUCCAAACUCAGGAGCCGGGAAAACACAGCCCGCCAGGGAGGCAGGCUGAGGCUGCAGAUGGGGUCUGGGCCUCCAGACCCGAAAUCCCCCACUGAAGCCAUUCCCAGGAGGAGGGGCCUCACCGGUGCCUCAAGGCAGCAUCAGCAUUUCCGGUGACAGGCACAGCAAUUUAUCAGCUCACUGGCUCUCUACUGAGAACAAGGCAAGCCGGGGCCUGCCGAGGGUAUGACAGGCAGGGAGUGAUGGGCCCGGCCCAGGGCAGGAGGGAGACAGAAAUGGGCAGGAAGAGGAGGCUGUCCCCAGCAGCACUUCCGAGAGGAGGAGCACCUUUCGGGGACACUCUGGACGGCACCCCCACGCACAGCCCCACCCUGCCACUCGGAAAUGGACCCCUCACUGUCCUGGGGGCUUCCAGGGCAGGGCCGGGGUGGAGGGACGGCAUUCACAUUUGGCCUUCAAGACCACUUUCAGGUAAUAUUUUCCAUUUAGUGUGAGGUCAGGGCUUUACAGAUGGGAAGCCUGAGGUCAAGGUCGCAGAGCCGAGCCUCCCAGCCCUGGGCUUUUUGCCCUGCACCGCACUGCCUGCUCACAGUACACCGGGGGCGUUUAUUGAAAGAGGAGGGAUCCUGGCAGCCUCAUGCCAGCUCCGAUGCCCAAGCCAAGCCAGUGCUGCCCCCAGCACCCCCAUACCUACCCUUCCACAGAGCUGGCGCCUGCCUCAGCAGCCCACAUGCCAGGACUGGUCUCAGAACAGGCUCAGCUGAGGGCUGGGUGUGGAGCUGUGGAGCUGGAAGACCAGUUCCUCUGCUUUUCCCCCUCUGGCAAAACCCGGGCCAGGCCAGGCAGGGCAAGGUUUCAUCCAGGCAGGCGAUGAGCAAAGCAACCCAACCCAGGCCCUGCAGCCUCAGUGCCUAGUUCUGCUCCGAGAGCCAAACAAGGGAUCUGUCUCCCAAGACUCGCCAAACACCCCCCACUUAGGGACCCACAAGGACACUCGAUCACACUGACUUGGUAUCAUCACCCUCAGCUUCCCAAGGGGAGUCAUGGCUUAGGCAGGAUGCCAGAGAUAUCCUAAAUCAAGGUGACUGUGGGGCAACUGGCACCCUAUGGGGACAGACGGGGCAGCCAAGCCUCCAAAGCACUGUCCCUCCCCCAGCCCUGUCUGCCCUAAAGAGCCCACCAAGGUCAGAAUCUCAGCCAAGAUUUCCCCAGUCGGCCCUUACUGAGAAGCCCAGCCCUGUCAGUCCCCACCAGGUCCCCUGGAAUGGGUAGCCACCGGACCUGGGGACCGGGGCACCUCUGCCAGAUGGACUUCUAGGGACAUCCUCCCCCUUGUACUUGCUAAAUAAAGUGUCCUCAAGUUUCA